AGUGAACGCUGGCGGUAGGCCUAACACAUGCAAGUCGAACGGCAGCACAGUAAGAGCUUGCUCUUACGGGUGGCGAGAGGCGGACGGGUGAGGAAUACAUCGGAAUCUACUUUUUCGUGGGGGAUCACGUAGGGAAACUUACGCUAAUACCGCAUACGACCUACGGGUGAAAGCAGGGGAUCUUCGGACCUUGCGCGAUUGAAUGAGCCGAUGUCGGAUUAGCUAGUUGGCGGGGUAAAGGCCCACCAAGGCGACGAUCCGUAGCUGGUCUGAGAGGAUGAUCAGCCACACUGGAACUGAGACACGGUCCAGACUCCUACGGGAGGCAGCAGUGGGGAAUAUUGGACAAUGGGCGCAAGCCUGAUCCAGCCAUACCGCGUGGGUGAAGAAGGCCUUCGGGUUGUAAAGCCCUUUUGUUGGGAAAGAAAAGCAGCAGGUUAAUACCCCGCUGUUCUGACGGUACCCAAAGAAUAAGCACCGGCUAACUUCGUG
rnacentral:rRNA from 1 species